GGAGAGGUGCCGGAGUGGUUGAACGGGACGGUCUCGAAAACCGUUGUGCGGGCAACCGUACCGUGGGUUCGAAUCCCACCCUCUCCG
rnacentral:tRNA from 1 species